rnacentral:rRNA from 1 species
AACGAACGCUGGCGGCAGGCUUAACACAUGCAAGUCGAACGGUUGUAGCAAUACAGCAGUGGCAGACGGGUGAGUAACACGUGGGAACCUUCCUAGGGGUACGGAACAACUCAGGGAAACUUGAGCUAAUACCGUAUACGUCCGUGAGGAGAAAGAUUUAUCGCCCUUAGACGGGCCCGCGUCGGAUUAGCUAGUUGGUGGGGUAACGGCCUACCAAGGCGACGAUCCGUAGCUGAUCUUGGAGGAUGAUCAGCCACACUGGGACUGAGGCACGGCCCAGACUCCUACGGGAGGCAGCAGUGGGGAAUCUUGGACAAUGGGCGCAAGCCUGAUCCAGCCAUGCCGCGUGAGUGAAGAAGGUCUUCGGAUUGUAAAGCUCUUUUGCCAGGGACGAUAAUGACGGUACCUGGAGAAUAAGCCCCGGCAAACUUCGUGCCAGCCGCCGCGGUAA